AGUGAACGCUGGCGGUAGGCCUAACACAUGCAAGUCGAACGGCAGCACAGUAAGAGCUUGCUCUUACGGGUGGCGAGUGGCGGACGGGUGAGGAAUACAUCGGAAUCUACUUUUUCGUGGGGGAUAACGUAGGGAAACUUCCGCUAAUACCGCAUACGACCUACGGGUGAAAGCAGGGGUUCUUCGGACCUUGCGCGUUUGUAUGAGCCGAUGUCGGAUUAGCUAGUUGGCGAGGUAAAGGCCCACCAAGGCGACGAUCCGUAGCUGGUCUGAGAGGAUGAUCAGCCACACUGGAACUGAGACACGGUCCAGACUCCUACGGGAGGCAGCAGUGGGGAAUAUUGGACAAUGGGCGCAAGCCUGAUCCAGCCAUGCCGCGUGAGUGAUGAAGGCCUUCGGGUUGUAAAGCCCUGUUGUUGGGAAAGAAAGGCAGCAGGUUAAUACCCCGCUGUUCUGACGGUACCCAAAGAGUAAGCACCGGCUAACUUCGUG
rnacentral:rRNA from 1 species